rnacentral:piRNA from 1 species
UAAAAUCCUAAGUACCUAAGAGUGUAACUU